UACGUAGGUGGCAAGCGUUGUCCGGAUUUACUGGGCGUAAAGCGAGUGCAGGCGGUUCAAUAAGUCUGAUGUGAAAGCCUUCGGCUCAACCGGAGAAUUGCAUCAGAAACUGUUGAACUUGAGUGCAGAAGAGGAGAGUGGAACUCCAUGUGUAGCGGUGGAAUGCGUAGAUAUAUGGAAGAACACCAGUGGCGAAGGCGGCUGUCUGGUCUGUAACUGACGCUGAGGCUCGAAAGUAUGGGUAGCAAACAGGAUUAGAUACCCCGG
rnacentral:rRNA from 1 species